AGUGAACGCUGGCGGUAGGCCUAACACAUGCAAGUCGAACGGCAGCACAGUAAGAGCUUGCUCUUACGGGUGGCGAGUGGCGGACGGGUGAGAAAUACAUCGGAGUCUACUUUUUCGUGGGGGAUAACGUAGGGAAACUUACGCUAAUACCGCAUACGACCUACGGGUGAAAGCAGGGGAUCUUCGGACCUUGCGCGAUUGAAUGAGCCGAUGUCGGAUUAGCUAGUUGGCGGGGUAAAGGCCCACCAAGGCGACGAUCCGUAGCUGGUCUGAGAGGAUGAUCAGCCACACUGGAACUGAGACACGGUCCAGACUCCUACGGGAGGCAGCAGUGGGGAAUAUUGGACAAUGGGCGCAAGCCUGAUCCAGCCAUGCCGCGUGGGUGAAGAAGGCCUUCGGGUUGUAAAGCCCUUUUGUUGGGAAAGAAAAGCAGCAGGUUAAUACCCCGCUGUUCUGACGGUACCAAAAGAAUAAGCACCGGCUAACUUCGUG
rnacentral:rRNA from 1 species